rnacentral:rRNA from 1 species
AUGGGCAAGCUCGGCGGUAGCGGUAGCAACUCCAAAUCUGCAUUUAGGCGAGCUCUUUCGAAAGUACAUACUAAUAGGCAAGAACAGGGGUCUGCCAAAAAAGCUUCCGAUGGCUCUCGCUCAAAGAAACGGAGCUCCGUCAAGAAGAAACCAUGGAAGGACAAGUUGUACACCAGGUGUGCUCCUUCUAUCAUUAUAGAUCUCUUGGAAGACCUAGGUGAGCAGCAGAGAAGGCUUGUAGAAGAGAUGGGUUUUCAGGGAUUAUAUAGUCUGAAGCUACAUAAGCUGAAUAAACCGAUAGGAGCCUGGCUCCUAAGUAAAUUUGAUGCGGAAUUGUUGCUUUUUUUCGCUGGGACAAGCAGGGAGCUCAAGAUGACACCCGAGGAUGUUAAUCGUGUGAGUGGACUCCCUUGUUCCGGCCAGAUCAUAAUACCUCCAAGCACACAGGAUGUUAGUUCCAUGAAAGCAUAUUUUUGUGGUGUUUUUAGAAAAGAUUCAUGGGAUGAAAUCACCAUCAGUAGCCUUUUGAAGAUAAUUUCAAAAAAAUAUGUUGAUCCGAUGACAAAUGAUGAGAUCCUCCAAUUCAAGACCGCGUUUGCAUUUUGUGUUGUUACCAAAUUCUUAGCUCCACAGUCCCUUAAUAACUUCAUAUCAACACGAUAUCUGAAACCGGUGUUUGAUAUGGCGAACAUUCAUACAUACAACUAG